CGCAUCUGUGCAUGCAGCAUAUCAAUAAGCGGAGGAAAAGAAACUAACAAGGAUUCCCCUAGUAACGGCGAGUGAAGCGGGAAGAGCUCAAAUUUGAAAUCUUAAAGGGUUUCCCUUUACGAAUUGUAGUUUAAAGAAGUGUUUUCUGUUGAGGUUUUGGUAAAAGUUCUUUGGAAUAGGACAUCAUAGAGGGUGAGAAUCCCGUAUUUGACCUUUACUUUCAACUUUGUGAUACACUUUCAAAGAGUCGGAUUGUUUGGGAAUGCAGUCCAAAAUGGGUGGUAAAUUUCAUCUAAAGCUAAAUAUUGGCGAGAGACCGAUAGCGAACAAGUACCGUGAGGGAAAGAUGAAAGAACUUUGAAAAGAGAGUUAAACAGUACGUGAAAUUGUCAAAAGGGAAGCGUUUGACACCAGUGUUGUUUUUCUGAAAAUCAAUUAAAGAACUGUUUAUGCUAAGCUGUUUAGACUUUAUCAGCUAACUGUUUAGUUUUGAGCUUUUCUUUAAUGCACUUUUCAGUUAACAAGUCAACAUCAAUUUCUUUUGCUGUAAAAAAGCUUGAGGAAGGUGGCUUGAGAUUCGUCUUAAGUGUUUAUAGCCUCUUGCCUAUGCAGUCGGAGAGAUUGAGGUCUGCAGCGUAGAUCCUUCGGGGCUAAAUGCAUUUGUGCUAAGUUAUAGCAUUUUAUAGACAACUUGUUGACUAUGAUUCGUCUUGUAGCUUACUCGCUUAUGUUAUUUUACCUACGCUUAGGAUGUUGAGUCAUCACACAUCUCU
rnacentral:rRNA from 1 species